rnacentral:rRNA from 1 species
CAUGACAAGGAGCUUGCUCCUUUGACGUUAGCGGCGGACGGGUGAGUAACACGUGGGUAACCUACCUAUAAGACUGGGAUAACUUCGGGAAACCGGAGCUAAUACCGGAUAAUAUUUCGAACCGCAUGGUUCGAUAGUGAAAGAUGGUUUUGCUAUCACUUAUAGAUGGACCCGCGCCGUAUUAGCUAGUUGGUAAGGUAACGGCUUACCAAGGCGACGAUACGUAGCCGACCUGAGAGGGUGAUCGGCCACACUGGAACUGAGACACGGUCCAGACUCCUACGGGAGGCAGCAGUAGGGAAUCUUCCGCAAUGGGCGAAAGCCUGACGGAGCAACGCCGCGUGAGUGAUGAAGGUCUUCGGAUCGUAAAACUCUGUUAUUAGGGAAGAACAUACGUGUAAGUAACUAUGCACGUCUUGACGGUACCUAAUCAGAAAGCCACGGCUAACUACGUGCCAGCAGCCGCGGUAAUACG